GACGAACGCUGGCGGCGUGCUUAACACAUGCAAGUCGAACGGAAAUGCCCUGCUUUUGUGGGGUGCUCGAGUGGCGAACGGGUGAGUAACACGUGAGUAACCUGCCCUUGACUUUGGGAUAACUUCAGGAAACUGGGGCUAAUACCGGAUAGGAGCUCCUGCUGCAUGGUGGGGGUUUGAAAGUUUCGGCGGUUGGGGAUGGACUCGCGGCUUAUCAGCUUGUUGGUGGGGUAGUGGCUUACCAAGGCUUUGACGGGUAGCCGGCCUGAGAGGGUGACCGGCCACAUUGAGAAUGAGAAACGGCCCAGACGCCUAAGGGAAGAAGCAGUGGGGAAUAGUGCACAAUGGGCGGAAGCCUGAUGCAGAAACGCCGCGUGCGGGAUGACGGCCUUCGGGUUGUAAACCGCUUUCGCCUGUGACGAAGCGUGAGUGACGGUAAUGGGUAAAGAAGAACCGGAUAACUACGUG
rnacentral:rRNA from 1 species